AUGAUUCAACCUCAGACCCUUUUAAAUGUAGCAGAUAAUAGUGGAGCUCGAAAAUUGAUGUGUAUUCGAGUCAUAGGAGCUGCUGGUAAUCAGCGAUAUGCUCGUAUUGGUGAUGUUAUUGUUGCUGUAAUCAAAGACGCAUUGCCCCAAAUGCCUCUAGAAAGAUCCGAAGUAAUUCGAGCUGUAAUUGUACGUACAUGUAAAGAGUUCAAAUGCGAAGACGGUAUAAUAAUCCGCUAUGAUGACAAUGCUGCGUGA
rnacentral:rRNA from 1 species